UACGGAGGAUCCAAGCGUUAUCCGGAUUUAUUGGGUUUAAAGGGUGCGUAGGCGGCCUGUUAAGUCAGGGGUGAAAGACGGUAGCUCAACUAUCGCAGUGCCCUUGAUACUGAUGGGCUUGAAUACACUAGAGGUAGGCGGAAUGUGACAAGUAGCGGUGAAAUGCAUAGAUAUGUCACAGAACACCGAUUGCGAAGGCAGCUUACUAUGGUGUCAUUGACGCUGAGGCACGAAAGCGUGGGAUCAAACAGG
rnacentral:rRNA from 1 species